CAGCUGUUUUGCAGAGGAAUUUUUGCCAUGUUGAUAAAGUCUAUAGUAUUUUCAGCUAUUGCUAUGUCAGAAAUAUCUACAAAUUAACAAUCAAGAAUAAAGGGAAAAUAGGACUGACAGUCUGGACCAGAUGGCUGGCUAAAUGAAACCCCUGUAUCGUUAUUUAAUCAGAAGAAAAUAUCCAUAACUUUAGGCUGGUAAACAGUGAAUGGAAAUAUUACUAUACAGUUCCAGCGCAGUAAAAUGAAUAGACGGAAAGAAUAUCCAUGGUUCGAUUGUAUAUAACAGAAUCAGAUAAUCUACAUAUGG